UACGAAGGGGGCUAGCGUUGCUCGGAAUCACUGGGCGUAAAGGGUGCGUAGGCGGGUCUUUAAGUCAGGGGUGAAAUCCUGGAGCUCAACUCCAGAACUGCCUUUGAUACUGAGGAUCUUGAGUUCGGGAGAGGUGAGUGGAACUGCGAGUGUAGAGGUGAAAUUCGUAGAUAUUCGCAAGAACGACCAGUGGCGAAGGCGGCUCACUGGCCCGAUACUGACGCUGAGGCACGAAAGCGUGGGGAGCAAACAGGG
rnacentral:rRNA from 1 species